CACACGACUGCGGUUGCUUGCAACGCACUGUGCCCCGUACCAGCUUUCUCCCUCUCUGUCUCCAUACAGUCUGUGUGUACUUCCGGGCGGCGUAUUCAUCAACAUACGCCCAAACCCCCCUCCCCUCCUCUUCAAAUACAGGCGCACGAGCGUACAUGCAACAUCUCGUACCCCCCCUUUCCAAUACAGCUCUCCCACUCCUUCUUUUUUCUUAAGAGACAAGCAAACAACAAGACAGACAGACAGACCCCCCCCCCCCCACACACACACAUACCACUGAGCUGGAACACUUGGUUUUAGGCUGUAGAAGGUGCUGCUCUCCCGUCUCGUUCAAGGUUUCCUUUCUUGCCCUCCCCUUGACACCGUCCCACCCCCUUUUUCCCGCUGUUUCCCCUCUUCUCUUUCCGACGUUGGCCUUGUGAAUCGCCGCUGCGCUUCCGUUGGAUGGUUUGCCUUUUUCUCCCUCUGCCGUGCUGGUUGCCCUUGUGCUUGUCUUGUUGCCGCGUACACGUUGACCGUAUUUUUGAUUUAUCCUUUCCUUUCCAUCUUCCUUCCCUUUUCUAUUUAUUUAUUUCGACAAACGAGGGGGGAGGGGGCGACACAAAACAGACAAAAGGGGAAGAGAAGCGGCACCCUUGAUUCCUCCCGUGGGCAUUCUUAUUGCUAUCAUAUAUCUAUAAUAUAUCUAUCUGUAUAUAUAUAAAUAUAUCCCUCCCUCCCUCUCUCCAUUUGUUUAUAUAUAUAUUCUCGGUGGUUCACUUCUCCCUCUCUUUCUAUCGGUUUGGCUUUCACAUUCUUCUUUAGCCGCUUCCAUCUUGCGUAUAUAUCUGUCAAACUUGUUUCUUCCGUUUUUCUCUUUUUUUCUGCUUCGCCUGAUCUUCCUUUCGCUUUCUCGCUUACUCGACCCAGCCCGCUGGAGGAGGAGACUGCGUUCCGACUGGAGCGCUGGCGCCUGCUUGCGUGUUGUAGAGUGCAAGCGAGCGGUUCUGCUGAAUCUGCGUCCUUCUGUGAGUACUUCCUCCCAUCGCUCCUUCUGCUCUCUCACUCUCCACGGAGCGUCCCCGAAGUCCCCCCUUCUCCCUAACUGACAAACGCACAGAAGGUGCCUCAGCCGCAGAAAGUUACACACACACACACACACACACACACAGUUGCGCCCACGGAGGGUGUAAGCGCCGGUGUUCGGUAGUCGAUCAACCAAAAACCUUUCCGUCUUCCCUUUUAUUGGAUAAUACCGUUCGUGUGCUUUAUUAUUAUUAGUACAUAAAUCUAUUUUUGUGCACUUGCAUUCGCGCUUGUAUGUGUGCAUACGUGUGUGUACGUCAGCUCCCCCCCCCCACCUCCCACUCUCUCCUUCUCUGUACGCUCAUGAAAAUAAUCCUGGCCGCCGCCACCUGUCACUUUUUUUUUGUUCUGCCCCCUCCCCUCUCCCCCUCCGAUCUUCGUAGGUCGGCUUCUGUUUGAUGUGACCUGCCGUGUUGCCGCGGCCUUUUUUUUCUGCCGGUUUCGGUGUUCGUCUUUCGCUGCUGCUCUUUUUGUUUGUAUGCAAGAUUAGUUUCCAUCUGCCCCCCUCCCCCCACACACACUUUUCCCCUCGCCUUCCUUGGCCUCCUUGUUUCCAUCUUGCACUGUUUUUCUGCUUUGUGUUUUCUUCUUCGCCUCUCACGCACGUUGUUCUUGUUGCUGCCUGUGGCAUCUCCUCUGCUCCGUGAACGGAGCAAGAAGGAAAGUUGCUGGUCUGCUUUCGAGGGCGUACGCAUUCUCCUUAUUUGUUGUUGUUAUCAUUAUUAUUUUUUAUUUGGUUCUUGGUAGCUGUUCAGCAUUUUCGCUGGGAGACGCACAUCUUAAUCGACUCGACGACUCCCUACGAGUAACCCGACGGUAGCGAGCAGCAGCGAAGCCAACGCACACGCACGUCUCUCUGCACACGCGAGUGCCACACACACACACACACACACACACACACACACACACACACACACACACACACACACACACACUACUGGGGACGGGCGGGUCAGAGGUCUUAGACGACGAAAUUUGCCCGAUUAUCACAGACGCCACCCUUUGUCGGCGGAAGGUGAGGUGCUUUCUCGAGUAGGGAGCGGGGCUUACUCACCAUCGCGGCAUUCCCCACUCUCUGCAGUCCUCUCGCACCACCUCUGAGCUGUGGUUUCGGGGGUAAAGUGUGGGCGCACGCACUGCGUUUCUACCAACGAUUUAGUAGCACGAAAGCCCGUCAAAGCCUGGUCGGUGCCGAAAAAUGUCGACGGCGGGUCGGUACAAGCACGUCGUGAAGCUCGGUGAGGGGACGUACGGCAGCGUCUACAAGGGCACGGAGAUUCAAACGGGCAAGGUGGUCGCGUUCAAGCGCAUGGUGGUGACUAGCGAUGACGAGGGCGUCCCCGGCGCCGCCAUCCGCGAGAUCUGCCUGCUGAAGGAGCUUCGGCACGACAACGUGGUAGACCUCUUUGAGGUUCUCUUCGAACCGCCCAAGAUCACCAUGAUCUUUGAGCUGUGCGACUGCGACCUGAAGCGUUUCAUGGAGUCGCGGCCGAAGCGCUUGCUGGAUGCCGAGGCGGAGAUGCGGCCCAUUCUGAAGCAGAUCUUCAUCGGGCUCGAGUAUCUGCACAGUCGUAGCGUGGUGCAUCGCGACAUGAAGCCGCAGAACAUUUUCGUGAACGUGCGCGCGCCAGACUUCGCGGCGUUGACGGCCUCUCCAUCCUCUCGCCAAGAUCACCUGCAGCCACCACCAUUCAGCGGCGUCCCGACCGCUGUUGGCGGAGACGUGCAGUCGGCCGCAGGGAGCGAUGGACGUCCAAACCCGUUUGCCGGAGCGGACAGCGUCCCGCCGUGGGAGGCGGCGGCGGCGGCGGCGGCACCGAGUAACACACCAAACCAGCUCAUUGUGAAGAUUGGCGACUUUGGUCUGGCGCGUGUAGAGGAGAUCCCGGUGAAGAAGUAUUCGCACGAGGUGGUGACGCUGUGGUACCGCAGCCCUGAUGUACUGAUGGGAUCGGCGCUGUACUCCUAUCCAGUCGACAUAUGGUCCAUGGGAGCCAUCUUUUUCGAAAUGGCAACAAGCAAGGUGCUUUUUAGCGGACGCCACGAGGACGAGCAGCUACUGCGCAUGUUCUGGCUGUUAGGCUCACCGACGCGAGAGACGUGGCCGUCCAUGCUCUCCUACCCCGGAGCGAUGGAGCGGCUCGAGCGUGCAUCGCGCGCGGCAGCGGAGCGGCCCGACUUGCGUUUCGGCAGCGAAGUGUACGUGCAGCAGCAGCAGCAGCAGCCGCCCUCCUCGCAGUCCCAUAGCGGAAGCCGUGCUCCAGACCUUCUCACACAGAUUGCGCACAAGCGCUUCUACCACAGCUUGAAGGCCAUUCAGCAGCGAGAGGAGAGCGCUCGCAGCUCAUCCAACACGUACCAACUUCCCGUCGAGCUGUGGUUUGACCGCCCGCUGUUCGGCGAGUACAUGUCCGCCACUGGCUUUGAUAGUUGCGUGACGGCAGAGGGAGUGAACCUUCUGCGCCAGUGCCUCCUGUAUGAGCCGAAUCAUCGCAUCACGGCAGCCGCGGCGGUCCGCCACGCGUACCUGCACGCCGUGUCCGUCCCCACAGCCGGCGCGUUGGACGUCCUCAUGACCUCUUUGCUGCAGACGAUGGAGGCCUGUCACCUGCUGUGAUGACUGCGGACUAGUUGGAGAGGGAAGGGAGGGGCUGGCGAUGGUCGGCGCCCUAGAGGGAAUCUGCCGCCAUCUUUGUGCUGUGGGUGAUGUAUGAGCACUCGUGAUUACGUCCUCGUUUCACGUCCGCGCGUUGUAUGUAUUCCUUUUUGUUUCGUUGUGGUUCUUUAGCAGCUGCUCUGCUUUUCAGCGUGCCCCUUCCACACACCAUCCGUCUCUCUCUGUGUAGCUCUCCUGCGCUGCGCCACCCUCACACGCUCGCACAAACUCACGAGCAUGCAGAAGGCAGAAACGGAGUCGACCGGUGGGCUCUGCAUGCACUCCUCGUCUUCUCGUGGUGGCAUCCGGCGCACAGUGCGGCGUCGACGAAGAUAGAGUCAGCUCCCUUUUCUCCAUAGCGAGAGCGAGCGGAUACUCUCCCCCUCUAUCUCCUCAAUAGAACGAAAGAGUCGACAAUGGAGGACCACGAGUGACAUGCAGGAGCCAGGAAUGAGGGCAGAGCGAAAUGGCGAUGAGGUGCACGCUGGUGGAGGGAGGGGGUAUCUUAAUCUGCGCCAUGCGGCGCGAAAAUCGGACAGGGAGAAUUGGGAGAGAGUAAAGAGCGGCUCUGCUUCUCCUUCGCGUUUGAGGGGGCGCUCAAAGGACGCUGUAAGGCGACAUCGCUGCUGUGCGCAGAGGAGCACCACACCUGUCUUGUGUGGCACUCUCUCUGUCUUCCCCCUCCGUCGCUUCUUGUGCGGCUGCGGCGUCAGAGGAGGGAGGUGUACACGCCAUCACACGUAAGGAGCACUUUGUAGAGAGAGAGAGGAGCAGAAAACAAAAGAAAGAAGUGAGAAGCGCGUGAACUGAGAGCACUCCAGAGAAGAGGAAAAAAAAAACGCGUCAGGGAGAGAGGGCGCGAGCACCUUCGCACACUUGCACCUCCGCCCCUCUUCCCCUCUCCCUACCUCCUCCGUUUCGUUUCUCAUUCUUGUGUUUGACCGUUUCGCUGUCCACCUGUUCUUACUAUCACCCAUGCCCCCGCCUCUUACCUAUGUUUUUAUUUGCUUCGGAUUCUUCAUUUUAGUUUUGUUUCCCCGUUUUGGUCAGUUUUCAAUGCUGUUUCAGUGGCUGUAGAUCUCUCUCUUGCCGUUCUCCUCUCUCUGCGCGUGUGCGUUCUUGCUUCGCUGUGCGGUUUCUCUCUAUCCGUGCUCUCUUCUCGCCUCCUCAUCUCUCUCUGUAUACGUCUUGGGUUGCUGUCUAGUGUUCUCAAUGUGUGACGUCUGUUGUCCGCGCUCGAGUGUGCUGCGUUGUGGUUGUUCUCUCUCGGCUGUCUCUCUAUCUUUCCUUCCGCUUGUGGUGGCGCACGUUCGCUGCUGACGCCGCCGUGGCCCCCCCCUCCUCUCCCCCCUUCCUUUCUCUUCCCCACCGGCGCCCAUUGCCCGCAUACUCCGUAGCUUCGUCGUGCCUUUGGCAUUUCUUUUUUUUUUCUCGCUCCACCGUUCUCUCUCUCCUGUCUCUCGGCCCCCUGCCGCUGUGCGAUCCACGGCGUAAUGUAAACGGAGCACGAACACACACG
rnacentral:misc_RNA from 1 species